rnacentral:rRNA from 1 species
UAGGGGGCAAGCGUUAUCCGGAUUCACUGGGUGUAAAGGGAGCGUAGACGGUAAUGCAAGUCUGGAGUGAAAGCCCGUGGCCCAACCGCGGGACUGCUCUGGAAACUGUGAUACUGGAGUGCAGGAGGGGUAAGCGGAAUUCCUGGUGUAGCGGUGAAAUGCGUAGAUAUCAGGAGGAACACCGGUGGCGAAGGCGGCUUACUGGACUGUAACUGACGUUGAGGCUCGAAGGCGUGGGGAGCAAA